AAAAAAACGACGCCAAAGUCUAGUUCCUCGAUGACUGAACCUGCUCAUGUGCCUGGUAAUCCUGUUGAAAGCAUGUCUACACGGUUUGAAAGGCUUGAAGCUUUGAGAGAUGAGAAGCUUAAUGCUUUGAUAGAUUCCAAAGUUAUAGACCAGGAUACGUCCAUGAAGCAUCUUAUAGCAGCUGCCCAGGCUAAAAGGCGGCAAGCUCACUUGCAGAGCAUUCAUGGUAAUACCCUUGCUGCUGUGGCCCCCUAUGCUGAACCACAGGGAGGGAGCCCCCAUUCAGCUCUUGGUUCUCAACCAUUAAGCUCUGGCAUGCUGCAUCCUGAAAUGCAAGUUCUAUUUUCUCGCUCAUCUCCUUCAUCAGAGAUUCGGCAGUUCUCAUUGCUAAAUCCACCUGAGCCUGAAGAAAAUGAGGAGAAGAGAGUAAUUUCAGGCCUGGGGGCCUCUGGGGGCUCACUCAGUGGUGGCACUGAGGCAGCUGUUGCUCGUGAUGCUUUUGAAGGAAUGAUAGAAACAUUAUCACGGACCAAAGAGAGUAUCGGACGUGCAACCCGUCUAGCAAUUGAUUGUGCAAAGUAUGGCAUUGCUAAUGAGGUCGUUGAACUUCUUACCCGGAAGUUGGAAAAUGAAACUAGCUUUCAUCGCAGGGUGGACCUGUUUUUUUUGGUGGA
rnacentral:misc_RNA from 1 species